CAGAGACGCCAUUAUCUGAAUCUCUCCUGCCGAGGAAAAACAUCCUCCCGUAUUUAUUUAGAAAUACUGCAGAAGAAAGAAAGUCUUGCCGUUUUGGAGCAACGCUAUGAAGCACUUCAACCAAUAAGAGGCAUUUCCUGGCUGACAUCAUCCCACAGGAAGUGACAUCAUGACUGGAGCUCAAACAUCAGAAUGACUGAAGGGUGGUCUCUGUGGUGCACAAACAGACGUCAGUGAAGAGACACAGAGAGCCCGAGGACAAGACAGUUCACCCAGAAAUCUAAGUUCUGUCAUCAUUUCCUCACCUUCAUGCCGAUCCAAACUCUUCUGAAUUCUUUUCCUCCCCAUGAAACACAAAAGGAGAGAUUCUGAAUACAUACUGAAUCACUAAUGAAAUCACUCUGGUGGCCACUGCGAGGGCUCUGGACAUUAUUAACUAGCUUCUGAUUAAUUCAUCAUUAAGCCAAACAAGAAGACUGAGAGAUGGAUGCUGUACUGUAGGACAGCAGAUUUUAUUUGAUCUUACUUGACUUUGUUUAGCACUGAGAGGCUAUAUAUUGCAUAGUGUGUUGUAGUAUGACUUCAUUUUAUU